GACGAACGCUGGCGGCGUGCUUAACACAUGCAAGUCGAACGGUGAAGCGCCUUCCUUUUUGGUGGGUGUGGAUGAGUGGCGAACGGGUGAGUAACACGUGAGUAACCUGCCCCCUUCUUCUGGAUAACCGCAUGAAAGGGUGGCUAAUACGGGAUAUUCUGGGUCUGUCGCAUGAUGGGUCUGGGAAAGAUAUUGUUUCGGUGGGGGAUGGGCUCGCGGCCUAUCAGCUUGUUGGUGGGGUGAUGGCCUACCAAGGCGGUGACGGGUAGCCGGCCUGAGAGGGUGGACGGUCACACUGGGACUGAGACACGGCCCAGACUCCUACGGGAGGCAGCAGUGGGGAAUAUUGCACAAUGGGCGCAAGCCUGAUGCAGCGACGCCGCGUGAGGGAUGGAGGCCUUCGGGUUGUGAACCUCUUUCGCCAGUGAAGCAGGCCUGCCUCGUUUGUGGGUGGGUUGACGGUAGCUGGAUAAGAAGCGCCGGCUAACUACGU
rnacentral:rRNA from 1 species